AUGAGCUUCACCACUCGCUCCACCUUCUCUACCAACUACCGGUCCCUGGGCUCUGUCCAGGCGCCCAGCUACGGCGCCCCCGGUCAGCAGCGCGGCCAGUGUCUAUGCAGGCGCCGGGGGCUCUGGUUCCCGGAUCUCCGUGUCCCGCUCCACCAGCUUCCGGGGCGGCAUGGGGUCCGGGGGCCUGGCCUCAGGGAUGGCCGGGGGUCUGGCAGGAAUGGGAGGCAUCCAGAACGAGAAGGAGACCAUGCAAAGCCUGAACGACCGCCUGGCCUCUUACCUGGACAGAGUGAGGAGCCUGGAGACCGAGAACCAGAGGCUGGAGAGCAAAAUCCGGGAGCACUUGGAGAAGAAGGGACCCCAGGUCAGAGACUGGAGCCAUUACUUCAAGAUCAUCGAGGACCUGAGGGCUCAGAUCUUCGCAAAUACUGUGGACAAUGCCCUCAUCGUUCUGCAGAUUGACAAUGCCCGUCUUGCUGCUGAUGACUUUAGAGUCAAGUAUGAGACAGAGCUGGCCAUGCGCCAGUCUGUGGAGAAUGACAUCCAUGGGCUUCGCAAGGUCAUUGAUGACACCAAUGUCACUCGACUGCAGCUGGAGACAGAGAUUGAGGCUCUCAAGGAGGAGCUGCUCUUCAUGAAGAAGAACCACGAAGAGGAAGUAAAAGGCCUACAAGCCCAGAUUGCCAGCUCUGGGUUGACCGUGGAGGUAGAUGCCCCCAAAUCUCAGGACCUCGCCAAGAUCAUGGCAGACAUCCGGGCCCAAUAUGACGAGCUGGCUCAGAAGAACCGAGAGGAGUUAGACAAGUACUGGUCUCAGCAGAUUGAGGAGAGCACCACAGUGGUCACCACACAGUCCGCCGAGGUUGGAGCUGCUGAGACGACGCUCACAGAGCUGAGACGUACAGUCCAGUCCUUGGAGAUCGACCUGGACUCCAUGAGAAAUCUGAAGGCCAGCUUGGAGAACAGCCUGAGGGAGGUGGAGGCCCGCUAUGCCCUACAGAUGGAGCAGCUCAAUGCGAUCCUGCUGCACCUGGAGUCAGAGCUGGCACAGACCCGGGCAGAGGGACAGCGACAGGCCCAGGAGUAUGAGGCC